GUUAAUGUAGCUUAAUUAAUAAAGCAAGGCACUGAAAAUGCCAAGAUGAAUCGUAUGAUUCCAUAAACA
rnacentral:tRNA from 1 species